GAUUUCAACUAAAAAAAGUCAUCAACAACAAAGUUGUAUAACUCACCAAGAUCUAUAACUUUUAUGUUUGUCAUUUAUUCAUCCGAUAAAGUGUUAGUAACAUUAUUCACAAAUUUUACAUAUCUGUGUUAUGGUUUAUAAACCAGAUGAGAGAUAUAUGAAUUUUGUGAACAAUGUUACUAUCACUUUAUCAGAUGAAGAAAUGACCAAAAUAAAAGUUAUAGAUUUUGAUGAGUUAUACAACUUUGUUGUUGAUGACUUUUUAGUUGAAAUC
rnacentral:pre_miRNA from 1 species